AUUUUCUUAAUGUAAUAACUUGUGUUUUAUCCGUAAUCAUCUAAAUCCCAGCAGUGCCAUAGUUUAUUUACUAGAGAAGCCAUAUUUAUUGUGUAUUGGCGGCCUAAUACACGAGAUUGCCUGUGAACAUAACAAACGUUUUGAUUGGUCGAGCCAUUGACCGGAAAAUUAUAAAUAGAAGGUUGACGAAACGAACUUCAGAUUUAUUCUCAUCGUCUGCAAGAGCAGUCAACAUUUUAGUCGCAAUAUAAAUUUAGUCAACCUAAAUUAAUCCAAAUGUCUGAACCAAAGUCAACCAUUAGUAUGGUACGCAGGUUUUAAUUGUUUUAAGAAAACUUAAACCUUCUAGCACAUGGCUAUUGUUUGUUUUGCAAAAGUCAACCUUCGACCUACGGGAAAGUCCCGUCAGCUGUCGUUCCACUUAGUCAACCUUCUAUCGAUGAAGUAGGAUGAAAGAGAUUUUCUGGAAAUCUACUUUCGGUUUAGGAAAUAAGAUAUAUGAAUAUUUUAAAGUAUUUUAUAUUUUUGGAAAUAGAAGGUUGAAAAGUUCAACCUUCUAUCAAAUCAACCUACGGAAACAAGUCAACCUAAAUGGGAAUUUGAAGUCAACCCUCCUGAUCUAUAAAUAAAGAUGAUUACGGCAAAUUGUAUAUAAAUAUAAAUGUAUGUUUUUAUGAUCAAUUGUAAAUAUUUGAUUAUAUAGAUGUUAUAUAAAAUGCAUCUGAACUUUAUACCUGACUUAGUUAUUAUUUCAACCAUAUACCAACUCAAAGGAUCCAUGCAAAUUAUGUUCGAUCGAGCCUCCUUAUUCAUUUAAACUUACCACUCGGUUUAAGGGGCGAAAUCGUUACAAUA
rnacentral:lncRNA from 1 species